rnacentral:rRNA from 1 species
AAAUUGAAGAGUUUGAUCAUGGCUCAGAUUGAACGCUGGCGGCAGGCCUAACACAUGCAAGUCGAACGGUAACAGGAAGCAGCUUGCUGCUUUCGCUGACGAGUGGCGGACGGGUGAGUAAUGUCUGGGAAACUGCCUGAUGGAGGGGGAUAACUACUGGAAACGGUGGCUAAUACCGCAUAACGUCGCAAGACCAAAGAGGGGGACCUUCGGGCCUCUUGCCAUCAGAUGUGCCCAGAUGGGAUUAGCUUGUUGGUGAGGUAACGGCUCACCAAGGCGACGAUCCCUAGCUGGUCUGAGAGGAUGACCAGCCACACUGGAACUGAGACACGGUCCAGACUCCUACGGGAGGCAGCAGUGGGGAAUAUUGCACAAUGGGCGCAAGCCUGAUGCAGCCAUGCCGCGUGUAUGAAGAAGGCCUUCGGGUUGUAAAGUACUUUCAGCGGGGAGGAAGGUGUUGUGGUUAAUAACCGCAGCAAUUGACGUUACCCGCAGAAGAAGCACCGGCUAACUCCGUGCCAGCAGCCGCGGUAAUACGGAGGGUGCAAGCGUUAAUCGGAAUUACUGGGCGUAAAGCGCACGCAGGCGGUCUGUCAAGUCGGAUGUGAAAUCCCCGGGCUCAACCUGGGAACUGCAUUCGAAACUGGCAGGCUUGAGUCUUGUAGAGGGGGGUAGAAUUCCAGGUGUAGCGGUGAAAUGCGUAGAGAUCUGGAGGAAUACCGGUGGCGAAGGCGGCCCCCUGGACAAAGACUGACGCUCAGGUGCGAAAGCGUGGGGAGCAAACAGGAUUAGAUACCCUGGUAGUCCACGCCGUAAACGAUGUCUACUUGGAGGUUGUGCCCUUGAGGCGUGGCUUCCGGAGCUAACGCGUUAAGUAGACCGCCUGGGGAGUACGGCCGCAAGGUUAAAACUCAAAUGAAUUGACGGGGGCCCGCACAAGCGGUGGAGCAUGUGGUUUAAUUCGAUGCAACGCGAAGAACCUUACCUGGUCUUGACAUCCACAGAAGAAUCCAGAGAUGGAUUUGUGCCUUCGGGAACUGUGAGACAGGUGCUGCAUGGCUGUCGUCAGCUCGUGUUGUGAAAUGUUGGGUUAAGUCCCGCAACGAGCGCAACCCUUAUCCUUUGUUGCCAGCGGUUAGGCCGGGAACUCAAAGGAGACUGCCAGUGAUAAACUGGAGGAAGGUGGGGAUGACGUCAAGUCAUCAUGGCCCUUACGACCAGGGCUACACACGUGCUACAAUGGCGCAUACAAAGAGAAGCGACCUCGCGAGAGCAAGCGGACCUCAUAAAGUGCGUCGUAGUCCGGAUUGGAGUCUGCAACUCGACUCCAUGAAGUCGGAAUCGCUAGUAAUCGUGGAUCAGAAUGCCACGGUGAAUACGUUCCCGGGCCUUGUACACACCGCCCGUCACACCAUGGGAGUGGGUUGCAAAAGAAGUAGGUAGCUUAACCUUCGGGAGGGCGCUUACCACUUUGUGAUUCAUGACUGGGGUGAAGUCGUAACAAGGUAACCGUAGGGGAACCUGCGGUUGGAUCACCUCCUUACCUUAAAGAAGC